rnacentral:rRNA from 1 species
GGAAAACAUUGAUGCUUCGGGACCUAACACAGGUGCUGCAUGGCUGUCGUCAGCUCGUGUCGUGAGAUGUUGGGUUAAGUCCCGUAACGAGCGCAACCCUUAUCCUUAGUUGCCAGCGAUUCAUUCGGGAACUUCUAGGGAAACUGCCGGUGAUAAACGGGAGAAAGGUGGGAAGAACUUCAAUUCUUCAGGGCCUUUAU